GCUGCGGCGCGGCGGUGACGCGCGCGUGGCUGAGCCCUUCCGCCGCGCGCGGAGGGUGCGUGAGGUGGUGCUCGCGGAGCCCCCUCAGCGCGGCGGGUCCGGGACGGGGCGAAGCCGCCGGGAGCGCCGGAGUGCGGGACGCAGAGGAGGCCUCUCUGUGCCUUUGUCUGGGGGUAUCUGAAUUUUGGGCAUAAGAAUGGUCUUCUCAGAGCUUUUACUGCUUCAGAAAGGAAGCCAAUGAACCAACAGAAAAAGCUAGUAUCCGAGUUUCUUCAGCUGCUUCAAUGAAUUCCUACAUCUGCCUCUAGAACCCUGCAGAAGCAGUAGCUGCACUCCUAGGACUGGGCUAAUGACAGAGGUUUCCCCCUGGGUCCUCGGGUUCUGCUUGAGCAUGGAGUCUGAUGUUCCAUCAUUUCUGAGUCGCUGUGAAUCCCUGUCACCAAAGAGAUUUUCUUCUGCGCUGAAGCCCUGGCUCCCAAAAACCCACUGGACUUACCAGGAAAUCCAGUUGUUUCAGAAGAGAGCUAUCAAGUCAUGGUUCAAAAAAUAGUUUUGAACCACUGGAAAGACCAGUUUAAAUGAAGGAUUACAGAUGGAAGGAGGAACGGAAGAAAGGAAGGAGGAAUGGAAGAAAGAAAGAAACCACCACAAAUAACUACAGCAAAACCAGACCACAGACAAUCCAGACAAAGAAAAACAACAGAAAUUCUCUUCAAGGUUGCUGUGGUGCAAGAAACCUCCAUCUUGUUUGGAAUCACCUUUCUCUGGAAGCAAAAAUAUUAUGGAAAUUAUAGGCAGUUCCCACCGGGAACGAAGUUCUGCAAAUGUGCAUUCAUCCUGCAGCAGACAUAAAAUACAGGAUGGAAUCAGUCUAUUUCAAUUGAUCCAGAAAUGUGUUUGGUUUUUUUUUUGUUUUAUUUUGUUUGUUUUUUUUAAUCAAUUUUGGCUUUUCCUUAUUCAUAUCCAACAAAGGGAGGUUUGAGGGACCAAGAAAUAAAAUCAUAUAAGAAUAUAGCUAUUCCAGUCAGUCCUUUUUCUCUUCAAUGACUUUGCCUAUAGGCUUCCUACACAAGAAGUCCAACAGGGCUGGAAAACAAGAUCCACGUCUUUAGAACCCUAGCCCUACAUCUUUACCCAAUGGAACAUAUUUUGGGUGAAAGAGGCAUCAUGAGAAAUAAGUGGCAAUGCUGCCAAGUAGCUUCCAGCUGCUAUGAUAUGGCAGUCUUUCUGCUUCUUAGUAGCUAGCUUAUAUAAAUAACGGUCUGAUUUGAAAGGCUCUUCAUUGUGGAUCUGCUUAAUGUUUUGAAUUUGUAUUUGCUAAAUGCAGAGUAUAUUCCUUCUCACAUGAGGACAUAUUUGAAAGCACUAAAGAGAGUCAUUUAAAAGAAACUAUAAUACUCCUUGCAAGCCUUAUACUCUUUGCAAUAGCCUGAACACUGUAACAUUUAUACAGAUAGAGACAGCUGCAGUCCCUGCCAGACACAGUUUUAUGUAAGAACAGCAAAUGAGAAGAACUGAAAAAAAUAAAAAGGAACAUACUAAAGUUUAAUACUUGUGGUUUGGUGUUCCUAGUUCCAGUUUUCCUCCAAAUUAUUUGGAAACCUACCCCUUUCACCUCCUUUGAAAGAAAUGGAGUUAAGAAUCUCCAGGGACUUUCCUCUUGGUUUGAUUUCUGGAAGUUAUAAGAAUACCAAAGUAGCUUAGAGAGACUUACAGAAAGGAGUUAGUGGCCAAAGGGUCACUUUUUCAUUUAUGUACUGAACAAGAAAGUUCCUACUGGAAUGGAUCAGAUAUUAACUUAUCUCCCUAGAAGAGGAAGGAUCCUGCAAUAAUUGUAUUAGGGAGCAUUAGAUCCAUUGCAGUGAUUUCAAGAGACUCUUCAUGGCUUGUACUGGAUGCACUCUGCACGAGAGAGUGUCUCCCCAGACUCACUCACCAAAGGUUUCUGUAUCCCUGGGAGGUCCUGAAAAGUGAUUUGGCCCCAAUCCCUUGUCUGUGACCACGUUACAAAACUGGUUCUACCCAUUUAAAGAUUCUCACUUUACAAACACAUUUGAAGUGGUAGAGAGACAUCACAAUUUGUUAUUUAUGGCAAGUAGCAAAAGGUAAGUCUUUUCUACUCUUCAUUCAUUUCCCACAUGCAUACCCAUACAGAUCUCCUCUUGUAUCUCGUAGGUUCAAGGCUGCCAGAGCUUAAUAAAGAACCCAUAAAGAAAA